AUAUCAGAAGAAUCACAGCUCGGCAAAUAUUCCACUGCCAAUCUGAUUGAAGAUCUGCGUGCAAUUGAGAAAUCGCUAGCACAAGCUUUUCCGCGUAUUUGCAAAUUCAUACAAUUGCUGACAAGCACUACACCUCCUUUUUCUCCAACCGACUUUCCAACGGCAAGCGUCAGCCCCUCCAACAAACCUCUAGCUUUUUCUAGACAAGAUCUAACUGUUCUGAAGGCGUUUGCAGCAAAGGUCGUCUACACAAAGCUGACACUUUCACAAGGAGAAAGGACGCCAACUGCAUGAACUAACCCUAAGCUCAGACCUUGAAACGGUAGUUUUAUGCUUGGUUGACGUAGCUGCAUAAUUGUCGUGUGUCUUUCCGGUAAAUCUGUUGUUUACUUGAAUGCUUGCUUGCAUAACAAAGAGUGCAAUACAAUACAGUGU